rnacentral:rRNA from 1 species
AACGAACGCUGGCGGCAGGCCUAACACAUGCAAGUCGAACGCACCGCAAGGUGAGUGGCGCACGGGUGAGUAACACGUGGGAAUGUACCCUUUGGUUCGGAAUAACGUUUGGAAACGAACGCUAAUACCGGAUGAGCCCUGCGGGGGAAAGAUUUAUCGCCAAAGGAGCAGCCCGCGUCUGAUUAGCUAGUUGGUGGGGUAAAGGCCUACCAAGGCGACGAUCAGUAGCUGGUCUGAGAGGAUGAUCAGCCACACUGGGACUGAGACACGGCCCAGACUCCUACGGGAGGCAGCAGUGGGGAAUAUUGGACAAUGGGCGCAAGCCUGAUCCAGCCAUGCCGCGUGAGUGAUGAAGGCCUUCGGGUUGUAAAGCUCUUUCGCACGCGACGAUGAUGACGGUAGCGUGAGAAGAAGCCCCGGCUAACUUCGUGCCAGCAGCCGCG